GGACUACAAGGGUUUCUAAUCCCGUUCGCUCCCCUAGCUUUCGUCCCUCAGCGUCAGAAGAGACCCAGUAAGCCGCUUUCGCCACCGGUGUUCCUGAUGAUAUCAACGCAUUUCACCGCUCCACCAUCAGUUCCGCUUACCUCUGUCUCUCUCAAGCCCGGUAGUUUUGAAUGCAGUUCCUCGGUUAGGCCGAGGUAUUUCACAUCCAACUUUUCGAGCCGCCUACGGACUCUUUAAGCCCAGUGAUUCCGAAUAACGUUUGGGUGGUACGUCUUACCGCGGCUGCUGGCAC
rnacentral:misc_RNA from 1 species